AAAUAAUUUGUUUUAUUGUCUGAACCCAAGCUUUACGAUGAAGACGUUUUAUAUUUGCAUUAGCAACAUAACAAAUAUUAUGACUACAGUAAUCUUUGUGAACGAUCGUUUUUGAUGAAAUUUGGCAUAAACAUAAAUAAUUCUGCUGACAAACUAACUUAAUGGCUCUUGAAAUGGAUACACAGACAACCUGAGUAAACGACAUCAGUCAAAGAGCAACUCCGCCCUUAUGGCCCCACCAACUGAAAAACGUUUAAAACAGUGGUGUCCUGACCCCGAAAAUUCCGUCAUUUAUCCAGACAAUCCGGCAAAAAAACGAGAGAAUAGAACGUAGCCUACCAAGAAUCAGAGAACCAAGAACCUAAGCCGCACAUUUUAAGUCAGUCUGGUCUUUGCUUGUCGCGUUAUAUAUGUACAAGCUCCCACUAGUAAUUGUAAAUGUGUAAAAUAUAACUUAAUUUUUUGUGGCAAAUAAUGAA